UACGGGGGAUGCAAGCGUUAUCCGGAUUUAUUGGGUUUAAAGGGUGCGUAGGCUGUGAGGUAAGUCAGCGGUGAAAUGCCCCCGCUCAACGGGGUGAAGUGCCAUUGAUACUGCCUUGCUGGAAUGCGGAUGCCGUGGGAAGAAUGUGUGGUGUAGCGGUGAAAUGCAUAGAUAUCACACAGAACACCGAUUGCGAAGGCAUCUCACGAAUCCGCUAUUGACGCUGAUGCACGAAAGCGUGGGUAUCAAACAGG
rnacentral:rRNA from 1 species